CCUACGGGAGGCAGCAGUGGGGAAUAUUGCACAAUGGGGGAAACCCUGAUGCAGCGACGCCGCGUGAGUGAAGAAGUAUUUCGGUAUGUAAAGCUCUAUCAGCAGGGAAGAAAAUGACGGUACCUGAUUAAGAAGCCCCGGCUAACUACGUGCCAGCAGCCGCGGUAAUACGUAGGGGGCACGCGUUAUCCGGAUUUACUGGGUGUAAAGGGAGCGUAGACGGCAGCACAAGUCUGGAGUGAACUGCCGGGGCUUAACCCCGGAACUGCUUUGGAAACUGUGCAGCUUGAGUGCAGGAGAGGUAAGUGGAAUUCCUAGUGUAGCGGUGAAAUGCGUAGAUAUUAGGAGGAACACCAGUGGCGAAGGCGGCUUACUGGACUGUAACUGACGUUGAGGCUCGAAAGCGUGGGGAGCAAACAGGAUUAGAUACCCUUGUAGUC
rnacentral:rRNA from 1 species